UCGGACUUUUGCUGAUGAGGUAAUAGUUCUUCAUUGCUCUGUGUUUCUUGUGUAAAUAUUAUUUCUAAACUUUCAUAAUACUUUAAAAAUUAAAACAUUAAUGUUGUAGGUAUAAGUAAUGUGUUGUUUUAAGUAUUUUUUUAUGCACAAUUUUGUUAAGUAAGGAUUAGAACGUCGAAUGUUUGAAAUGUUUGGUCAUAAUUACACAUGGUAUUUACGCAGGUAUCACUCCGCCAGAAAAGUAGAGACCUGUGUAUGUGUUUCAUGUUUCCAACAAAGGUAUGUGGAUUUGUGUAUUAUUAUAAUUUUUUUGUGACAAAACGUUUUUGUUAUUGUAAUUUAAAUUAUUAUUUUUAUAUGAAUGAAUGUUGUUUACUUCCUCUUCUAUUGGACUUUUGCUAAAGAGGUAUCACUCCGCCAGAAAAGUAGAGACCUUUGUAUUUGUUUCAUGUUUCCAACAAAGGUAUGUGGAUUUGUGUAUUAUUAUUACUUUUUUGUGAUAAAACGUUUUUGUUAUUGUAAUUUAAAUUAUUAUUUUUAUAUGAAUGAAUGUUGUUUACUUCCUCUUCUAUUGGACUUUUGCUGAUGAGGUAUCACUCCGCCAGAAAAGUAGAGACCUGUGUAUGUGUUUCAUGUUUCCAACAAAGGUAUGUGGAUUUGUGUAUUAUAUAUAUAUUUUUGGAUAAAACGUUUUAGUUAUUGUAAUUUAAAUUAUUAUUUUUAUAUGAAUGAAUGUUGUUUACUUCCUCUUCUAUCGGACUUUUGCUGAUGAGGUAAUAGUUCUUCAUUGCUCUGUGUUUCUUGUGUAAAUAUUAUUUCUAAACUUUCAUAAUACUUUAAAAGUUAAAACAUUAAUGUUGUAGUUAUAAGUGAUGUGUUGUUUUAAGUAUUUCUUAUGCACAAUUUUGUUAAGUAAGGAUUAGAACGUCGAAUGUUUGAAAUGUUUGGUCAUAAUUACACAUGGUAUUUACGCAGGUAUCACUCCGCCAGAAAAGUAGAGACCUGUGUAUGUGUUUCAUGUUUCCAACAAAGGUAUGUUGAUUUGUGUAUUAUUAUAAUUUUUUUGUGACAAAACGUUUUUGUUCAUUGAAAUUUAAAUUAUUAUUUUUAUAUGAAUGAAUGUUGUUUACUUCCUCUUCUAUUGGACUUUUGCUGAUGAGGUAUCACUCCGCCAGAAAAGUAGAGACCUUUGUAUUUGUUUCAUGUUUCCAACAAAGGUAUGUGGAUUUGUGUAUUAUUAUAAUUUUUUUGUGACAAAACGUUUUUGUUAUUGUUAUUUAAAUUAUUAUUUUUAUAUGAAUGAAUGUUGUUUACUUCCUCUUCUAUUGGACUUUUGCUGAUGAAGUAUCACUCCGCCAGAAAAGUAGAGACCUGUGUAUUUGUUUGAUGUUUCCAACAAAGGUAUCACUCCGCCAGAAAAGUAGAGACCUGUGUAUGUGUUUCAUGUUUCCAACAAAGGUAUGUGGAUUUGUGUAUUAUUAUAAUUUUUUUGUGACGAAACGUUUUUGUUAUUGUAAUUUAAAUUAUUAUUUUUAAAAGGGAAUAAGCGGUAGAACAUGGAUGUUGUUUACUUCCUUUUCUAUUGGACUUUUGCUGAUGAGGUAUCACUCCGCCAGAAAAGUAGAGACCUGUGUAUGUGUUUCAUGUUUCCAACAAAGGUGUCCAAUAAAUGAUGAAACGACGGAAUGGUGGAGUGUCUUUGACUUAAAAAAAAAACUACACAACGCAGAAUAAGACUCACUACACAUGGAUCCCGACCACAUGUCAACCGGCAGUUUUCGCUUCGUGACUUCCCUCAACACACCCGUGGCCACACCCCUUUGACUAUCAGGUUGGCUCUCAUGGUGAGUGGCGGGCCUUGUCCACCGUCGCCCUGGACUCCCUGGAGUGGGCGGGGCCAGCGGGAGAUCACAGCCCAUGGCAGCUUGUCACUCAUUCCAGGCCCGUCUUGUGAUGCCUUCGCUGACACGUACCGCUCUGAGGAUGGACACGGCCUCCUUGCUGAGCCACACGGGGUAGAGGACAUCGUCGUGGAGGAUGGACUCGAACAGGUCGUCCUCGUUGUCGGCCUCGAAGGGGGGCUGCCCGGCCAUCAUCUCGUACAUCAGGACCCCCAGGGCCCACCAGUCCACCGAGGCGCCGUACUCCAGUUCCUGCAGGAUCUGUUGGGAGACAAGGACAUCGUGGCUUAUCAAUCUGGUGCCGAUCGGAACGCAACAAACCCUUCCCGCCCCCCCGGGGGAUAUGGAGUGCCAGCGAUGACAAGCAUAAUAGUGAGAGUCCAGUCCCAAGUGGAUCUAACAUAAUAGGAGAGUCCAGUCCAUAGUGGAUCUAACAUAAUAGGAGAGUCCAGUCCAUAGUGGAUCUAACAUAAUAGUGAGAGUCCAGUCCAUAGUGGAUCUAACAUAAUAGGAGAGUCCAGUCCAUAGUGGAUCUAACAUAAUAGUGAGAGUCCAGUCCAUAGUGGAUCUAACAUAAUAGGAGAGUCCAGUCCAUAGUGGAUCUAACAUAAUAGUGAGAGUCCAGUCCAUAGUGGAUCUAACAUAAUAGUGAGAGUCCAGUCCAUAGUGGAUCUAACAUAAUAGUGAGAGUCCAGUCCAUAGUGGAUCUAACAUAAUAGUGAGAGUCCAGUCCAUAGUGGAUCUAACAUAAUAGUGAGAGUCCAGUCCAUAGUGGGUCUAACAUAAUAGUGAGAGUCCAGUCCAUAGUGGAUCAAACAUAACAGUGAGAGUCCAGUCCAUAGUGGAUCUAACAUAAUAGUGAGAGUCCAGUCCAUAGUGGAUCUAACAUAAUAGUCAGAGUCCAGUCCAUAGUGGAUCUAACAUACUAGUGAGAGUCCAGUCCAUAGUGGAUCCAACAUAAUAGAAAGAGUCAAGUCCAUAGUGGAUCUAACAUAAUAGUGAGAGUCCAGUCCAUAGUGGAUCUAACAUAAUAGUGAGAGUCCAGUCCAUAGUGGAUCUAACAUAAUAGUGAGAGUCCAGUCCAUAGUGGAUCUAACAUAAUAGAAAGAGUCAAGUCCAUAGUGGAUCUAACAUAAUAGUGAGAGUCCAGUCCAUAGUGGAUCUAACAUAAUAGUGAGAGUCCAGUCCAUAGUGGAUCUAACAUGAUAGUGAGAGUCCAGUCCAUAGUGGGUCUAACAUAAUAGUGAGAGUCCAGUCCAUAGUGGAUCCAACAUAAUAGUGAGAGUCCAGUCCAUAGUGGAUCUAACAUAAUAGUGAGAGUCCAGUCCAUAGUGGAUCCAACAUAAUAGUGAGAGUCCAGUCCAUAGUGGAUCUAACAUAAUAGCGAGAGUCCAGUCCAUAGUAGAUCUAACAUAAUAGUGAGAGUCCAGUCCAUAGUGGAUCUAACAUAAUAGUGAGAGUCCAGUCCAUAGUGGGUCUAACAUAAUAGUGAGAGUCCAGUCCAUAGUGGAUCAAACAUAACAGUGAGAGUCCAGUCCAUAGUGGAUCUAACAUAAUAGUGAGAGUCCAGUCCAUAGUGGAUCAAACAUAACAGUGAGAGUCCAGUCCAUAGUGGAUCUAACAUAAUAGUGAGAGUCCAGUCCAUAGUGGAUCUAACAUAAUAGUGAGAGUCCAGUCCAUAGUGGAUCUAACAUAAUAGUGAGAGUCCAGUCCAUAGUGGAUAUAACAUAAUAGUGAGAGUCCAGUCCAUAGUGGAUCUAACAUAAUAGUGAGAGUCCAGUCCAUAGUGGAUCUAACAUAAUAGUGAGAGUCCAGUCCAUAGUGGAUCUAACAUAAUAGUGAGAGUCCAGUCCAUAGUGGAUCCAUUUUCCCACUUCUAACUAUAAAUACCAAUUAAAAUGAUAAAUAAUAAUAAAUGGGUUGUACUUGUAUAGCGCUUUUCUACCUUCAAGGUAUUCAAAGCGCUUUGACACUACUUCCACAUUCACACAUUCACACACUGAUGGAGGGAGCUGCCAUGCAAGGCGCUAACCAGCACCCAUCAGCAGCAAGGGUGAAGUGUCUUGCUCAGGACACAACGGACGUGACGAGGUUGGUACUAGGUGGGGAUUGAACCAGGGACGCUCGGGUUGCGCACAGCCACUCUUUCCACUGCGCCACGCCGUCCCUGGAUACAAAGGAUUCUGGGUAUUUGUUAUGUUGCGUUUAUGUUGUGUUACUGUGAGGAUGUUCUCCCAAAAUGUGUUUGCCGUUCUUAAUUGGUGUGGCUUCACAGCGUGGCACAUAUUACAAAGAGUGUUAAAAUUGUUUAUAUCACAACCAUUAGUGUACUCUGUGUCACCCAGUACGCCUUGCAGUCGUGUACCCCCAAAAUGUGAAGAACUAGAAACAAACUAGUAAAGCCUGACUGACAUUGUGUGAAAAUAAAUAGGGUUCUAAGAAAGGACAUUUUGACCUACUUUCAAAAUGUGUAGAGUUCUUUCUUUGAACGCCAAAAAAAAUACUUCUAAUUAGGAAGUAAAUACAUAGUCUAAGAGUAGAGAAUACAUACAAUAUAAAAACAAUACGGUUCUUGUUACUGUGGUUACCAUUAAAAUCAAUAGGGUUUUUUGUUUUUUUUGCCUUGUUCAGAUAAAAUUUAGGUAAAAGUUUUAGAUUUUUUUUUUUUUUUGCAUUAGUUCAGCCCCUUCUCAAAAUCAACAGGGGUCUUCUUCCUUGGAGACUGAAGAUGGCCACCAAGAGUUAUGGAGUGAUGGAAGUGACAUAUUUAACUAACUAAAUAACCGCCUUUGUGAGCUUUUUUUAUUGAAAGUAAAAGUCAACUAUCUGCCAAAGUGAAAGUGA